ensembl:lncRNA
CUAAGGGAUGCUAUGUGGAUAAUUAUGUCUUAAAUAUACUAUAUAUACAAUAAUACAUUUGUGAUUGUAAUUUUCUAUUGACUUGAUUUGUAUUUAAAGCAGUAAAAAGUGGUUGUACUGUAUUUCAUUUCUUUAGAUAGAUUCUGAGCAUUAAGCAUUUACAGUCUUUGUAAUCAUUCUAAGCAGCCAUCUUUCUUCAUAACUUUUUUAAUAGAAAUCUUUUCGACACCUCUAGAAAUCUCAACUGUGGCGUUUGGCAUCUUGUUCCUACCCCACUUACGAUGUGUUUUUACACGUAUUACCUGUGCUGUGCAUCAGGAGUGGAGCGGUACAUAUAUUCGUAUUGAACCAAUUUGGUACAAGGGUCACGGUUUUGGUGCACGCAUUUACACAGAAAAUACACUGCAAAGCGGAACUAUUGUUAGAUACGCAUGUUCUUUGGGGACACAUAAUAUGUGACGCGCGUCCUAUUCGCUUUGGACUAAUGUCAAACUAGACGCAAAUUUUAAGCAUUUCUUUGUUUGCGUUGAUUACAAUGCUGGAGUGUGUGUGUGCUCGCACGCGCGGUAGAGAGAGAAAGAUAUAGUGUGUUCACUGUAGCACAAGAGAGAUCGAGACAGAGAAGCAAUUUGUCCUCGAGUGUCACAAAUACAAAAUUCCCACCUUAGUGCAGUGUGUCAAGGAACUAAUAUCCUCAAUGAACACAGGGAUCGAUACAGCAAGCACAAGCUCAGGGUCCUCCAGCUCAGCCCAAGAGAUGAUUUCUCUGGGCAACAUGGCUGUCCAAGUCAACAAAACCUGCUUUAGGAGAUUGAAUAGGAGCAGAAUGUCCCUGUUCACUCAAGAGUUGGCUGUUUUGUUGUUUGGGAGGGAGGUUCUGGGUUCAUCUAGCCUCACUGGGAAUAGGUCCCAAAAAGAAAGGCUGAACCCAGAAAAAAUGAAUGCACUUAUCGGUUUGUAUAAGAUUUAUAUUUUUUAUAUUUCAUUAUAGUCCUUUCUCAGCUGAAAUUUUAAAUAGUAGUGUAAAAUAUGUUAUAAAAAAUAAUUGACUUAAAGGGUAGCAUGUAUCAUACUAUAUGUGCAUGCGCAAACUUCAGAGAUUGUGAACCUUAUUUUAUCACAGCAAGAAAACAAUACAAACAGCAUAUCACAAUAAAGAUAAUUUAAUUUAACCAAAUCUUAAAGUUAAGUAACGUUUCAAAUUAUUAAAUGAAAGGUUUGGGCAAAACGGUACAGUAAACAAUUGCUUCUAUUUCAUGCACUUACAUUAGGAUUCAGUCCUCAAUAAUUAUACAUCAAAUUAAAGUAGUUUAAAUAACAUAAUAGGCCAUAGAGGAUUCUUCAAAAAUAACCACUGAUUAUCUUAAGAACGAGUUGUAUCCAGCAUGAUUGAGUAAUUUAACUGCAUACUGUAGAUAAAAGCAUAUGUUAAUCACAAAAAAACUUAUUUAAAGAAUAAUUAAAAUAAAUCUAAAUCAUCUUGAUUAUUUCUCUGGGAGUAUAUAUAUUGAUAUUUAUUGCUAAGUGCAGCUAGUUUAGCAAACUUCACAAAACUGCCGACAGUAAUGCAGCCAUCCUUUACUACAAAACAGAUAUGAUCACACAGACUGUGAAAAAGGUCUCUUUUUGCCUAGAAAAUCAUUGUGUGUCUAUAUUCUAGCAAGCUUUAUAUCCUAUAAGCAUAAGGUGGAUAUUAUGAAUAAUUUUGUGGCUAUUCAUAAAGCACUAAUGUACUAAUGUUUUUUUUUUUUCUUUUUUCGGCAGACACUGUCAUAUCUGAGUUUCCGGGCACGUCACAGUCCGAGGUUAGAGCAGUAAUACGCGAAAGUGCAAUAACGAAAGUUUUUGUUUCACACUGUAAAGGUAAUUUUUUGUUGUUGUUGGGAAAGGAAUGUGAAAGUAAAGAAGAAAUUUGUGUUUUGUUCAUAUAAGAUACGUACAGUAAUCUGUAGUUUAAUCAUUUUAUUAAAGGGUUAGUUCACCCAAAAAUCGAAAAGUUCUUUGUAUUUAGUCACCCGCGUGUUGUUCUAAACCCUUAAGAUUCCAUUAACCAUCGCAUCACAAAAUAUUAUAUUUAUGAUGGAAUCUGAGCGCUGGAUAAGUCUUCCAUUGACUUCCAAGGGGCUUAAACUUGCUCGAUCAGAAAUCGUAUUAAGACAUUGUUUGAAAUUGUCUAAGUGACUCCAGUGGCUCAACCAUCCAUUUAUCAAGCGACGAGAAUAGUUUUUUUGUGCCAAAAACAAACAAAAAUAACGAAUUUAUUCCAAUAUCCAUUUACUCGUGUUGUGCUUGAAAGUUGUUUACGUAGUGUAUCUGCGCGAGCUUCUGGGUUCUACGUCACCAGGCAUCACACACAUGACCUGCGUUGGCCAAUAGUGAGCCUGUAUGGUGACGUAGAACCCAGAAGCGCUGCGCAGAUAGACUACGUAAACAACUUUGAAGCACAACACUAGUAAAUGGAUAUUGGAAUAAAUUCAUUAUUUUUGUUUGUUUUUGGCGCAGAAAAAGUAUUCUCGAUGGUUGAGCCACUGAAGUCACUUGGACUAUUUUAAACAAUGUCUAUAUGUUUUCUGAUCGAGCAAGUUUAAGCCCCUUGGAAGUCAAUGGAAGACUUAUCCAGCGCUCAGAUUACAUCAUAAAUAUAAUAUUUUGUUAUGCAAUUAUAAAUGGAAGCCAUACGGGGUUAGAACAACACGCAGGUGAGUAAAAACUGAGAUCAUUUUGAUUUUUGGGUGAACUCCUUUAAUGCUUUUAGUUUAAGCUUGCCACUUGUGUUAUUUUGUUUCCCAACAGUCUGUUUGGACUUUAAUAAUGUUUAAAAAAAAUAAAGUGUUUUUUAAGAAAGAGAUGCUUUUUGUUUGUACACAUACCAUUCCUCCUGUAUCCUUUUAAGCUAUAGGUGUUUUCAUUUACAUGAAUUACAUUUACCGGUUAUUUUUAUCAAAUGCAUUACAUCUAACUUUAAAAUGAUUAUUGUAUUAAACGCCUUCAUCAAUGGUGGACAAUUUUAACAUUUACAUUUUAACAGUAUAACUUCAGCAUAAAUGAGGCAGAAAAUGCUACUGAUAACACAGUAAUAGUGUACUUGACUAAAAAAAAAACCCAUUAACAUUUAAAUGUUUUAUAAAAGUACUUUUGACAUAGUUAAAAUACAUUUUUACAAUAAAUUAGUUUCCAUAAAUAUGAUUGUAUAUUCUUAUAUUUUAAAGAAUUUAAAGGUGUAUUUAAAAAUGUUUUAAAGAUGGGUUCUAUUGCUCUAAGGGGGAAAAAAAAUAAAGCUGAAAUAAUAUUUUAAAAUCAUGUUUUAAGUUCAUCUUAAGUUUGUAUAAAAAUAGCACAGUUGAUAUAUUCUUAUAUUUUAAAUAAUUUAUAAGUGUAUUUAAAAAUGUAUUAAAGAUUUAAUCUAAAGAUAAAAUUAAAGCUGAAAUAGUAUGUUAAAAGCAUAUUUAAGUUCAUCUUCAGUGUGUCUCAAAAUAGCACAUUGAGUACACUAAGAUGAUCUUAAGUUUAUAUUAAGAAGUACUAAAGUAGCACAGUUGAGUAUAAAGUGCGUGAAAAUAGAGCACUUUAAAUACAUUAUGGAAGUGUAUUAAGUGCACUUAAAUAAAAUGUAUUUUAGUGUACUUUUUUAAUCUAGGAAUACAUUAUAAAUAUAAUUUGUAUAUAAUUACAUAUUAUUAUUAUUAUCAUUUAAAUAGUUUAUUAUUGUAUUUAAAGAUGGUUUCAAUUAUACUAAAACUGGUAACGAAAUACAUUUGUUGAAAAUAUGAAAUAGUAUAUUAAAAAUACACUUUAGUUUAUCUUCAGUGUGUCUCAAAAAAGCACAAUUGAGUACACUAAGAUGAUCUUAAGUUUAUAUUAAGCAGUACUAAAGGUAAGCUUUUAGUAUAUUAAGUGCAAAAUAAGUGUGUCGAAAAUAGAGCACUUUAAGUACAUUAUGGAAGUGUAUUAUGGAAGUGUAAUAAAAUGUAUUUUUAGUGCACUUUUUUUAAUCUAGGAAUACAUUCUAAGUAUAAUUUGUAUAUAAUUUAAUAUUAUUAUUAUUAUAAUUUAAAUAGUUU